UUUUGCGCCUGUCCCAAGUCAGGAGCCUCUGGCCUUUGUUAGUCUUGUAUUAUUUUAAUUUUAGUUUCUUGUGUACAAUUUGGAAAUUAGUAUGGCGUUCAUUAUCACUGAACUAGUAUAUAUUUGUUUAGGGGCCAGUUGAAGGACGCCUCCGGGUGCGGGAAUUUCUCGCUACAUUGAAGACCUUGUUGGUGACCUUCUGCUGUUGUUUUUUUCUAUGGUCGGGUUGUUGUCUCUUUGGCACAUUCCCCAUUUCCAUUCUCAAUUUUAUAUAUCAAUGAUUAUAAUUUCACUCCAUGGUAUUGUUGUAGUAAAAUUCCACUGCUAUCAGCUCCAAAGUUCAUAUCUGGGAAAGCAUUACUUGGAAGUGGUUGUCCAAGAUUGAUAUUAACUGAUGGUAAAUGUGUUGAUUUGUAAAACUCCACUAACUGGCACAAACAUGGAAAACUCUAAAAUAAUGAAAUACAGAUGAUUAAUAUGAUUAUCAAAUUGAAUGGUUGGAUGGUCCAUAUCGGGUAAUUUUUUUACUUGAUUUACUAUCUGAGCCGGUCUUUGAAAAACGUAUAAAAAAAGAAUGCUUGACUAUAUGUCAACCACAACCCAUACAAAUCAUUAAAAUGAUAAACUCUCAAAGCGAACAUUUUACCAUAAAACCUGAAUGGCAGCAUGUUAUUAAAUAUCUGUCCUAUCUAAAUGUUUACCGUUCGCUUUGUUAUUCGAAGCGGGUAUGUUUCUUUCAUGCAAAGAUUUAAAAGUCAUAUAAAACUUCAAAUUUAAAAAAAGCUUGAACAUGUUUUACAUCAAUUAUAUGGUGAUUUUUAUAAAUUUACUGUUUGCAAAAAAUUAUUCGAAAUACUAAGGAUUUUCUUAUCCAAGGCAAAUAUAACCUUAGUUGUAUAAGGCACAACUUUUAGAAUUUUGAAU
rnacentral:lncRNA from 1 species